rnacentral:rRNA from 1 species
UACGAAGGGGGCGAGCGUUGUUCGGAGUUACUGGGCGUAAAGGGCGCGUAGGCGGCGCUCCAAGUUAGGCGUGAAAGCCCCCGGGCUCAACCUGGGAAUUGCGCUUAAGACUGGAGUGCUCGAGUGCGGAAGAGGUGAGUGGAAUUCCCAGUGUAGAGGUGAAAUUCGUAGAUAUUGGGAAGAACACCAGUGGCGAAGGCGGCUCACUGGUCCGCAACUGACGCUGAGGCGCGAAAGCGUGGGGAGCAAACAGG